rnacentral:rRNA from 1 species
AUGAACGCUGGCGGCGUGCCUAAUACAUGCAAGUCGAGCGAACGGACGAGAAGCUUGCUUCUCUGAUGUUAGCGGCGGACGGGUGAGUAACACGUGGACAACCUACCUAUAAGACUGGGAUAACUUCGGGAAACCGGAGCUAAUACCGGAUAAUAUUUUGAACCGCAUGGUUCAAAAGUGAAAGACGGUCUUGCUGUCACUUAUAGAUGGAUCCGCGCUGCAUUAGCUAGUUGGUAAGGUAACGGCUUACCAAGGCAACGAUGCAUAGCCGACCUGAGAGGGUGAUCGGCCACACUGGAACUGAGACACGGUCCAGACUCCUACGGGAGGCAGCAGUAGGGAAUCUUCCGCAAUGGGCGAAAGCCUGACGGAGCAACGCCGCGUGAGUGAUGAAGGUCUUCGGAUCGUAAAACUCUGUUAUUAGGGAAGAACAUAUGUGUAAGUAACUGUGCACAUCUUGACGGUACCUAAUCAGAAAGCCACGGCUAACUACGUG